UACGAGGGGGGCGAGCGUUGUUCGGAAUUAUUGGGCGUAAAGGGUGCGUAGGCGGUUUGGUAAGUCUUAUGUGAAAUCUAUGGGCUCAACUCAUAGUCUGCAUGAGAAACUGCCGGGCUUGAGUAUGGGAGAGGUGAGUGGAAUUCCUGGUGUAGCGGUGAAAUGCGUAGAUAUCAGGAGGAACACCUGUGGCGAAAGCGGCUCACUGGACCAUAACUGACGCUGAGACACGAAAGCGUGGGUAGCAAACGGG
rnacentral:rRNA from 1 species